AACGUAGGUUCCGAGCGUUAUCCGGAUUUACUGGGCGUAAAGCGCGUUCAGGCGGUUUGGCAAGUCGGGCAUGAAAUCUCUCGGCUCAACCGGGAGAGGUUGUCCGAUACUGCUGGACUUGAGGGCAGUAGAGGGUGGUGGAAUUCCGGGUGUAGCGGUGAAAUGCGUAGAUAUCCGGAGGAACACCAGUGGCGAAAGCGGCCACCUGGACUGCACCUGACGCUGACACGCGAAAGCUAGGGGAGCGAACGGG
rnacentral:rRNA from 1 species